GUCUACAGCCAUGCCACCCUGAACAAGCCUGAUCCCGUCUGAUCUUGGAAGCUAAGCAGGGUCAGGCCUGGUUAGUACUUGGAUGGGAGACCACCUAGGAAGACCAGAUGUUGUAGGCA
rnacentral:rRNA from 1 species